rnacentral:rRNA from 1 species
UGCCUGUACCAUAACCGACACAGGUGGGUAAGUAGAGUAUACUAAGGGGCGCGAGAUAACUCUCUCUAAGGAACUCGGCAAAAUAACUCCGUAACUUCGGGAGAAGGAGUGCCUUAUUCUUAAGGUUGCAAUAACAAGAUCCAAGCAACUGUUUAUCAAAAACACAGGUCUCCGCUAAGUCGUAAGACGAUGUAUGGGGGCUGACGCCUGCCCAGUGCCAGAAGGUUAAAGAAGUCGGUUAGCAAUAGCAAAGCUGGUAACUGAAGCCCUGGUGAACGGCGGCCGUAACGAUAACGGUCCUAAGGUAGCGAAAUUCCUUGUCGGGUAAGUUCCGACCCGCACGAAAGGCGUAAUGAUUUGGAUGCUGUCUCGGAGAGGGGCUCGGUGAAAUAGACUUGUCUGUGAAGAUGCGGACUACCUGCACCAGGACAGAAAGACCCUAUGAAGCUUUACUGUAACUUGAAAUUGAAAUUGGACUUUAUUCGCGCAGUAUAGGUGGGAGGCGUUGAUUAUAAUCUUGUGGGAUUAUUGGAGCCAUCAGUGAGAUACCACUCUUGUAAUGUUAGAUUUCUAACUUUGAAUCAUUAUCUGGUCAAAGGACAGUUUCAGGCGGGCAGUUUGACUGGGGCGGUCGCCUCCUAAACGGUAACGGAGGCGUACAAAGGUUUCCUCUGAACGGUUAGAAAUCGUAUCUAGAGUGUAAAGGCAUAAGGAAGCUUGACUGUGAGACCUACAAGUCGAGCAGGGACGAAAGUCGGUCUUAGUGAUCUGAUGGUACUGAGUGGAAAGGCCGUCACUCAACAGAUAAAAGUUACUCUAGGAUAACAGGCUGAUCUCCCCCAAGAGUUCACAUCGACGGGGAGGUUUGGCACCUCGAUGUCGGCUCAUCGCAUCCUGGGGCGGUAGUACGUCCCAAGGGUUGGGCUGUUCGCCCAUGAAAGCGGUACGCGAGCUGGGUUCAGAACGUCGUGAGACAGUUCGGUCCAUAUCCGGUGUAGGCGCUAGAAUAUUGAGAGGAGCCUUCUUUAGUACGAGAGGACCGAGAAGGACAUACCUCUGGUGUACCAGUUAUCGUGCCAACGGUAAACGCUGGGUAGCUAUGUAUGGAGUGGAUAACCGCUGAAAGCAUCUAAGUGGGAAGCCCACCUCAAGAUAAGUAUUCUCAUCACGUAAGUGAGUAAGGUCACGGUAAGACUAACCGUUUGAUAGGCAUUAAGUGUAAGUACAGUAAUGUAUGUGCUGAGAUGUCCUAAUAGACCGAGGACUU